rnacentral:rRNA from 1 species
GUGGGGAAUAUUGGGCAAUGGGCGAAAGCCUGACCCAGCAACGCCGCGUGAAGGAAGAAGGCUUUCGGGUUGUAAACUUCUUUUGACAGGGAAGAGCAGAAGACGGUACCUGUCGAAUAAGCCACGGCUAACUACGUGCCAGCAGCCGCGGUAAUACGUAGGUGGCAAGCGUUGUCCGGAUUUACUGGGUGUAAAGGGCGUGUAGCCGGGCUGGCAAGUCAGAUGUGAAAUCCCGUGGCUUAACCACGGAACUGCAUUUGAAACUGCUGGUCUUGAGUAUCGGAGAGGCAGGCGGAAUUCCUAGUGUAGCGGUGAAAUGCGUAGAUAUGAGGAGGAACACCAGUGGCGAAGGCGGCCUGCUGGACGACAACUGACGGUGAGGCGCGAAAGCGUGGGGAGCAAACAGGA